GUUCUUAUAGUUUAAUCUAAAACAACGAUUUUGUAAAUCGUUAAUAAAUACUAAUUUUAAGAAUU
rnacentral:tRNA from 1 species